rnacentral:tRNA from 1 species
GUCUCAAUAGCAUAUGGCUUAGCGCACAGCCCCGGUUGAGACGCGGGUUCGAAUCCCGCCUAAGAUG